UACAGAGGUCUCAAGCGUUGUUCGGAUUCAUUGGGCGUAAAGGGUGUGUAGGUGGCGCCGUAAGUCGGGUGUGAAAUUUCGGAGCUUAACUCCGAAACUGCAUUCGAUACUGCGGUGCUUGAGGACUGGAGAGGAGACUGGAAUUCAUGGUGUAGCAGUGAAAUGCGUAGAGAUCAUGAGGAACACCGGUGGCGAAGGCGGGUCUCUGGGCAGUAACUGACGCUGAGGAGCGAAAGCGUGGGGAGCGAACAGG
rnacentral:rRNA from 1 species